CCGCGAGUAAGAACUAACCAGGAUUCCCUCAGUAACGGCGAGUGAAGCGGGAAGAGCCCAGCGCCGAAUCCCCCGUCCUUGCGACGUGCCGGGACCUGUGGCGUGUAAAGGACUGCGGCGCGGCGAUUGUCUCUCGGUUGUCCAAGUUUUUAACACGAGGUCUUUCCCACAGCGGGUGAUAGGCCUUUAGUGACGACCGGGGUUUCGUCCCACGCUUUCCUCAGAGUCGGGUUGCUUGAGAAUGCAGCCCCAAGAAGGGUGGUAUGCUCCAUCUAAGGCUAAAUACUGGCACGAGUCCGAUAGCGAACAAGUACCGUGAGGGAAAGUUGCAAAGAACUUUGAAGAGAGAGUUCAAUAGAGCGUGAAACCGUAGUGCAGUAAAUCGGGUGGACCUGUGCGAGAAGGUCCCGCGCAGUCGGGUGACCGGGACGGCGUGCGUCGGUGGUGGCGGCGCGCUUCUGGCAUGGUUUGCUCUACACGAGCGCCUGACCCCAGAGAAUUGGACCGUCAAACAGUCCAGCGAACCCCGGAAACUCGGUGUGCGCGGGAACGUGUGAAUCUGCGUCGCGUUCGGUUCGAGAGAGGUGAAAAGGCCCGGUGCGGAGGUGGGGCUUGACAGUACCCGUUCUCUUUUUUUUUCUUUCUCUUUCGGGGGGGGGAAAAGGAAGGCUCGGGCUUCAAUUGCCAACUAACAUACGCCUGGGAGAUGGCCCCUGCUUGGACCGGUGCAUAUGACCCGUGUCUGCUUUUUUUGCGUCGAAUUUUGCCUUUGGAGCGCAAGUUCCUUGGGGGCGGUCGGCGGCAAGCUUGGGCACACGAGAUGGUGGUCACGCGACAUUUGAUCAGUAUUCUACCCGUCCCGUCUUGAAACACGGACCAAGGAGUCCGACGUGAGCGCGAGUCAUUGGGAACCACGAAACCCACAGGCGCAAUGAAAGUGUUUUUUAUUUUAUAUCGAGGUGUGAUCGGCGUGCUCCUUUUUUGUGGGCGGCGCCGCGCAACACCGGCUGGUCCCUACGUCUCGGACUUUUUUUUAAAGUCCGUCACGGGGCCAAGCAAGAGCGGUCACGUCGGGACCCGAAAGAUGGUGAACUAUUCCUGAGCAGGAUGAAGCCGGGGGAAACUCUGGUGGAGGUCCGCAGCGAUUCUGACGUGCAAAUCGAUCGUCAAACUUGGGUAUAGGGGCGAAAGACUAAUCGAACCAUCUAGUAGCUGGUUCCCUCCGAAGUUUCCCGUAGGAUAGCUGGCGCUCGUACAAGUCAGUUGUAUCCGGUAAAGCGAAGGAUUAGAGUUGGCUGGGGCGGAGGCGUCCUGGCACUAUUCUCAAACUUUAAAUGGGUACGGUGCCGCUUCUCGCUUUGCGAUUUGUUGGAGAGCGGAGUAGAAUGAGAGUGCUUAGUGGGCCAUUUUUGGUAAGCAGAACUGGCGCUGUGGGAUGAACCAAACGUGCGGUUAAGGCGCCCAACACGGCCCCGAUGAGAAACCAUAAAAAGAUGUUGGUCGAUCCAGACAGCAGGGCGGUGGCCACGGAAGUCGGAACCCGCUAAGGAGUGUGUAACAACUCACCUGCCGAAUCGAGCAGCCCUGAAAAUGGAUGGCGCUGGAGGGUCGGGCCGAUACCGUACCGUCGCGGCAAAAGUCUAUGCGUUUACGAACUGUUGAUGCCGCGACGAGUAGGAGGGUGCGUCGGGGUGGCGCGGAAGCUUGGGCCGUGAGGCUAAGUGGAGCCGCCGCGAGUGCAGAUCUUGGUGGUAGUAGCAAAUACUCAAACGAAACCUUUGAGGGCCGAAGUGGAGAAGGGUUCCUUGUUGAAACAGCAGUUGAUGAAGGGUGAGUCGGUCCUAAGAGACGGGAUAAUUCUUUGUUAGAAAGUUGGCAAUGGGUCCUAAUUUUUUUGUGAAACGAAACGACCCGCCAGCCUGGCUCGAAAGGGAAUCAGGUUAAUAUUCCUGAACCGGACAACGGGCAAAUGGGUGUUGGCGCUUCUGGCGUCAGCAACUUCACGUCGCGGCAACGCAAGCGCGACCAGAGACGGCGGCCUUGGCCUCGGAAAGAGCCCUCUUUUCUUGUUAAGGGUCCUAAUUUACCCCGGAAUGGCAUUGCGCCGAGAUGGGGAAAGCAGGGUGCCCGAAAAGCAUUGUGCGUCAGCAGUGUCCGGUGUGGCAAGGUCGUUCCGUGAAAAUCUGGUGGAGGACGAGUGUGCGUGGUGUCCGGCCGUACCCAUAACCGCAGCAGGUCUCCAAGG
rnacentral:rRNA from 1 species